AAGCAGUUGAUUCACUCCUCCACUUCACAACAGACCUGCAGCACUGACUGUCCCUUCAGCUCUUCUGUCGCUGUAUCUCCAGAUCUUCAGCCUUUAUCAUGAGAUUUAUGGCUUUUUGUGUUUAAAUGUAGCUUUUAUGAACUUGGGAAAUUAGGAACUGUUGUAAUUUGAAACCGUUCACCGAAAUGCCAAAAAAUAUAAAUCACAUGGACAUGUUUAUAUUUCUCUGUUUGUGCUUAUGGAGUCUGAAUGGUGUGUUUGUUGCUGAUGCAGUGAAGUCAGAGUCAGUGACUGAGGGAGAAUCAGUCUCUCUGAACUCUAGUUUCACUCAAAUACAGACACUUGAAGAGAUCCAGUGGAAGUUUGGUGAUUUUCUCAUAGCUAAAGUAAACAAAAACAAAGAGAGCAAGUUUUAUGAUGAUAGUGCUGCUGGGAGAUUCAGAGACAGACUGAAACUGGAUCAUCAGACUGGAUCUCUGACCAUCAUCAACAGCAGAACCACAGACUCUGGACUUUAUACAGUCUCCAGCAUCAGAAGAGACACGAUCAACACGAUCAAUCUCACUGUCUAUGCUCGUCUGCCUGUUCCUGUCAUCAGCAGUAACUCUUCACAAAAUUCCUCAUCAUCAUGUUCAUUGGUGUGUUCAGCUGUGAAUGUGAGUCAUGUGACUCUCUCCUGGUUCAAAGGAAACAGUGUAUUGUCCAGCAUCAGAGUGUCUGAUCUCAGCAGCCGGUCUGAUCUUCUUCUCCAUCUGGAGUGUGUGGAUGAUUCCUACAGCUGUGUGCUGAACAAUCCCAUCAGAAACCAGACUCAACACCUCAACAACACUCAGCUCUGUCACACAUGUGCUGCAGAAGAGAGUAUCCACUGUUGUGGUUUCACUGAAGCUGUGAUCCGAUUGGCUCUCUCUGGUCUGGUGGGUGUGGCUACUGUGGCAGUUCUGGUUUAUGACAUCAGAUCCAGAAGUCUUGAACAGAAGAAGAGCGUCCAGAAAUAUCCAUCAAACUCUGAUUAAUCAGAUACUCAGGAAGACCAUUUCUGCUGGGAUUUCCUUUUCUGAUCUAGACACAACAACAUAUCUGAUAUGUUUAUAUUCAUCUGUUUGUGCUCAUGGAGUCUGACUGGUGUGUUUGUUGCUGAUGCAGUGAAGUCAGAGUCAGUGACUGAGGGAGAAUCAGUCUCUCUGAACUCUAGUUUCACUCAAAUACACAGAGAUGAAGAGAUCAACUGGAAGUUUGGUGAUUUUCUCAUAGCUAAAGUAAACAAAAACAAAGAGAGCGUGUUUUAUGAUGAAAGUGCUGCUGGGAGAUUCAGAGUCAGACUGAAACUGGAUCAUCAGACUGGAUCUCUGACCAUCAUCAACAGCAGAACCACAGACUCUGGACUUUAUACAGUCUUCAGCAGCAGAAGAGACACGAUCAACACGAUCAAUCUCACUGUCUAUGCUUGUCUGCCUGUUCCUGUCAUCAGCAAUAACUCUUCAUCAUCAUCAUCAUCUUCAUGU